rnacentral:misc_RNA from 1 species
GAUGAAGAACGCAGCGAAAUGCGAUAAGUAAUGUGAAUUGCAGAAUUCAGUGAAUCAUCGAAUCUUUGAACGCACAUUGCGCCCGCCAGUAUUCUGGCGGGCAUGCCUGUUCGAGCGUCAUUUCAACCAUCAAGCCCCAGGCUUGUGUUGGGGUCCUGCGGCUGCCGCAGGCCCUGAAAAACAGUGGCGGGCUUGCUGUCACACCGAGCGUAGUAAUACAUCUCGCUUUGGACGUGCGGCGGGUUCUUGCCGUUAAACACCCCCCUUCUCAAGGUUGACCUCGGAUCAGGUAGGAAUACCCGCUGAACUUAAGCAUAUCAAUAAGCGGAGGA